UACGUAGGGGGCAAGCGUUGUCCGGAAUCAUUGGGCGUAAAGAGCGCGUAGGCGGUCCGGUAAGUCCGCUCUGAAAGUCCGGGGCUCAACCCCGGGAGGCGGGCGGAUACUGUCGGGCUAGAGUCCGGAAGAGGCGAGUGGAAUUCCUGGUGUAGCGGUGAAAUGCGUAGAUAUCAGGAGGAACACCGGUGGUGUAAAGCGGCUUCUGGACCGAUAACUGACACUGGAGGCACGA
rnacentral:rRNA from 1 species